GCAGUCGUCCCUGAAAAUGUGUAAUCCAAGAAUGAAAGUUUUACAGAACAAGGAAAAAAAGCCUUCACACAACACAGGGUCAGAGUGAACUCUUUGGUACUUGUGUAACUGAUUAAGGGUUUAAAAGAAACUGUGUAUUUACUUAAUGGUAUGACUCAUUUAAAUGGAACAAACUUAGGCGAAAAACCACAAUGAUUAGGUUUUCCAUUUAUUGUUGUUGUGGGCUCAUGUAACACUACUGACAUUGGAGUCCAAAAACAUGGAAACCACCGACAGAACCUGCCUAUGUGAGGACAAAAGACAGACAGGUCGUAUCAUUUAAACGGUUUAAGAGGAAAUGCUAACUCAAGCCACUAUGUCAUGCGUGCCUUCAGACUACAGCUGGUGGACAUCGGUCUUUUCCCACCUUCACACCUGGACUCAGAAUGGAACUUACAUCAUCGACUGUCUUGGGUCUCAGGCCCUCAGCCUUGGACUGGAACACAGAUACCAUUGUGUCUCCUGAGUGUCCAGCUCAUUGGCUAUGGAUGCGAAUUCUCAGGCCCCAUAAUCAUGCAAGCCAAUUUGUUAUAGUAAAUCUAUCUACUUCUC